rnacentral:ncRNA from 1 species
UUUUUUGAGAGUUUGAUCCUGGCUCAGGAUGAACGCUGGCGGCGUGCCUUAGGCAUGCAAGUCGAACGGUCCCUCAC